UACGUAGGGCGCAAGCGUUGUCCGGAAUUAUUGGGCGUAAAGAGCUCGUAGGCGGUCUGUCGCGUCCGUUGUGAAAACUCGAGGCUCAACCUCGGGCUUGCAGUGGAUACGGGCAGACUAGAGUGCGGUAGGGGAGACUGGAAUUCCUGGUGUAGCGGUGGAAUGCGCAGAUAUCAGGAGGAACACCGAUGGCGAAGGCAGGUCUCUGGGCCGCAACUGACGCUGGAGGAGCGAAAGCAUGGGGAGCGAACAGG
rnacentral:rRNA from 1 species